rnacentral:rRNA from 1 species
UACGUAGGGGGCAAGCGUUGUCCGGAUUUAUUGGGCGUAAAGAGCGUGUAGGCGGCUUGGUAGGUCUCGCGUCAAAACCUGAGGCUCAACCUCAGUUCGCGUGGGAAACCACCUAGCUAGAGUCCGGAAGAGGAGAACGGAAUUCCCAGUGUAGCGGUGAAAUGCGCAGAUAUUGGGAAGAACACCCGUGGCGAAGGCGGCUCUCUGGGACGGUACUGACGCUGAGACGCGAAAGCGUGGGGAGCGAACAGG